GUUUUUAUAGUUGAAUAACAACGGUGGUUUUUCAGAUCACAGGUUUUGGCAAGAGGCUGAAUAGAAAUU
rnacentral:tRNA from 1 species